rnacentral:rRNA from 1 species
CGGGGCUUUGAAUUUGCAGAUGAAAGGAUACAUAGAUGUUGACGCCCUUUCGGGGGCAUCUGUGAAGGUGCCUGCAUGGGUUGUCGUCAGCUCGUGCCGUGAGGUGUCGGCGUGGGGUGCCAUAACGAGCGCAACCCUUGCUGUCAGUUGCCAUCAGGUAGAGCUGGGCACUCUGGUGGGACUGCCAUCGCAAGAUGUGAGGAAGGUGGGGAUGACGUCAAAUCAGCACGGCCCUUACGUCCGGGGCUACACACGUGUUACAAUGGGGGGUACAGAAUGUUGCUUACGGGUGACCGUUGGCGGAUCAUUAAAUCCCCUCUCAGUUCGGACUGGAGUCUGCAACCCGACUCCACGAAGCUGGAUUCGCUAGUAAUCGCGCAUCAGCCAUGGCGCGGUGAAUACGUUCCCGGGCCUUGUACACACCGCCCGUCAAGCCAUGAAAGCCGGGGGCGCCUGAAGUCCGUUACCACAAGGAUCGGCCUAGGGCGAAACUGGUAAUUGGGGCUAAGUCGUAACAAGGUAGCCGUA